rnacentral:lncRNA from 1 species
AGUUCUGCAUCUUUUGAAAAUGUCUCUGCAAAGUGGUAUCCUGACGUGCUACACCAGUCCCCCCAUCAUGCCAGUGGGGACAAAGCUUGAUCUUAGGGAUGAUAAGGACACAACUGAGAAGCUGAAGAAGAAGCUGAUUCCCAUCACCUACCUGCAGGAGCUAGCCAGGGCAAAAGAGAUCCGUGCUGUCAAAUACCUGGAGUGUUCAUCACUCACACAAUGAGGCCUCCAGCCAGUGUUU